GGGAGUGUGCCUCAGCGGUAGAGCACUCACCUAGCACAUGCGAGGCCCUGGGUUUGAUCCUCAGCACCACA
rnacentral:tRNA from 1 species